rnacentral:rRNA from 1 species
GUAACGAUAAAGCGGGUGAAAAGCCCGCUCGCCGGAAGACCAAGGGUUCCUGUCCAACGUUAAUCGGGGCAGGGUGAGUCGACCCCUAAGGCGAGGCCGAAAGGCGUAGUCGAUGGGAAACGGGUUAAUAUUCCCGUACUUGGUGUUACUGCGAAGGGGGGACGGAGAAGGCUAUGUUGGCCGGGCGACGGUUGUCCCGGUUUAAGCGUGUAG